rnacentral:rRNA from 1 species
UAGUACACUUAGACUUAAUUUUGAAUACUAGAAUAUUAUUAGAUAUGUUCUUUAAAUUUAAAAGAUUUGGCGGUAAUUUAAUCUGAUUAGAGGAACCUGUUUUAUAAACGAUACAACACGAAUUAUUUUACUUAUCUUGGUAAGCAGCUUGUAUACCAUCAUUAUAAGAUUAUUUAGGAGAGAAUAUCAUUGGAAUCAAUGUUAUUGAAUAUAUUAGAUCAAGGUGCAGCUUAUGGAUAAGUAAGUAUGGGUUACAAUAAAAUUUAUUUAUACGAAUUAAAUAUUUAAAUAUAUUUAUGAAGGAGGAUUUAAUUGUAAAAAAAGGAGUAGUGAGAUUUUUUGAUAUAAGUUCUAAAUUGU